AAAUCUGAUGAACAUGCCCGGGGGCAGGGCCCGGACGGGUGCGCUUCAUGUCCCCUUAUUUCUCGACCUGAACGCGGUAGGUCGUAACCAGCGUU
rnacentral:sRNA from 1 species